AUUGAACGCUGGCGGCAGGCCUAACACAUGCAAGUCGAGCGGGGUUUUCGGACCUAACGGCGGACGGGUGAGUAAUGCGUAGGAAGCUGCCCGAUAGAGGGGGAUACCAGUUGGAAACGACUGUUAAUACCGCGUAAUGUCUACGGACCAAAGUGUGGGACCUUCGGGCCACAUGCUAUCGGAUGCGCCUACGUGGGAUU
rnacentral:rRNA from 1 species